rnacentral:tRNA from 1 species
UGUCAUGGUAUAGUGGUGUGUACACUUGACUUUCAUUCAAAAGGUCGAGAGUUCGAAUCCCAUCACGGCAA